UACGUAGGGUGCGAGCGUUACUCGGAAUUACUGGGCGUAAAGCGUGCGCAGGCGGUUCGUCGUGUCCGAUGUGAAAGCCCCGGGCUCAACCUGGGAAUGGCAUUGGAAACUGGCGGACUCGAGUGUGGCAGAGGGGGGUGGAAUUCCGCGUGUAGCAGUGAAAUGCGUAGAGAUGCGGAGGAACACCGAUGGCGAAGGCAGCCCCCUGGGCUAACACUGACGCUCAGGCACGAAAGCGUGGGGAGCAAACAGG
rnacentral:rRNA from 1 species